AUACGGAGGGUGCAAGCGUUAAUCGGAAUUACUGGGCGUAAAGCGUACGUAGGCGGUUUAUUAAGUCAGAUGUGAAAGCCCCGGGCUUAACCUGGGAACUGCAUUUGAAACUAGUAGACUAGAGUAUGGUAGAGGGGGGGUAGAAUUCCUAGUGUAGCGGUGAAAUGCGUAGAUAUUAGGAGGAAUACCAGUGGCGAAGGCGGCCCCCUGGACCAAUACUGACGCUGAGGUACGAAAGCGCGGGGAGCGAACAGGAUUAGAAACCCCAGUAGUCC
rnacentral:rRNA from 1 species